rnacentral:rRNA from 1 species
AACGAACGCUGGCGGCAUGCCUAACACAUGCAAGUCGAACGAGACCUUCGGGUCUAGUGGCGCACGGGUGCGUAACGCGUGGGAAUCUGCCCUUGGGUUCGGAAUAACAGUUGGAAACGACUGCUAAUACCGGAUGAUGACGUAAGUCCAAAGAUUUAUCGCCCAAGGAUGAGCCCGCGUAGGAUUAGCUAGUUGGUGAGGUAAAGGCUCACCAAGGCGACGAUCCUUAGCUGGUCUGAGAGGAUGAUCAGCCACACUGGGACUGAGACACGGCCCAGACUCCUACGGGAGGCAGCAGUGGGGAAUAUUGGACAAUGGGCGAAAGCCUGAUCCAGCAAUGCCGCGUGAGUGAUGAAGGCCUUAGGGUUGUAAAGCUCUUUUACCCGGGUUGAUAAUGACAGUACCGGGAGAAUAAGCUCCGGCUAACUCCGUG